UGGAAUUUGAUAAGGCUCGGGAUCAAGUUAGAUAAGGACAGCGACAUAAUUUAGAGGGAGGGAAGAAGAGGUGAAGAGAAGGAGAUGGUGAGAAUGAUGAGGGAUAAGAAAAGAAGAAAAGAAGAUAUUUUUUAAUAAAUAAGUCAUUUUCAUCAAGGCAAAAUUAUUCUUCAUGGCGAUGCCUUCGCAAUAUUAAAUAUCAAAUAGAGUUUUAGGACAUAUUGAACUAUUUAACUAACUUUAGAAAUCACUUUUAGCAUUUUUUAAAUUUUGAGAGGUACAAUAUGAAACUGACCAGAAUAUUUAAAUAACUUUCUAAAUUAUUUUGUUGGAUUCUUAUUUUAGAACAGAGAGGCUUGUAAACAAGUGGAGAGUGGGGGAGAUCCUUGGUUACUUCCAAUUAGGUGGGAAUGUUAGUGAAUGCAUGGGAUUUCGAGAUGAUAGAUACAGUGUCGCCCGCAGUCUCCAUUGUUCAUUCGUGUGAUGGAACCUACAAUUUCUAUACCGCAUCCUGUGGUUCAGAUAGGUGGAUGAGAAUCAAUUAUUGGCUUUAAAGUACAUUUUGUUAACCCAAGUAAAAGUUUCUCAGUAGGAUUAGGCAUCUGAGCUCGAGCUGGUCAGAAGCAAGGGAUGCAAACUCGGAACCUUAUAGUUCAAAUUAAUAUCUUAGUUCGCUUCUCAGUAAUAAAAGAUGGGUAAACACUUACAACUUUUCUUUUUUUUUUUCCGCUCAUACCAUGUACGAAUAUACCGAAUAAAAUCAAAAAAACACUUGCAACUUGGAUGGAGAAAUUCCAACCUAUGGGAGAUAAAUUGACAUUGGUGAACUUGAAUAUACCAACAUACUUUGUUAAGAGAAUUGAUGUGACCCGGAGAGCUUUCCUUUUGGAAAGGGGAAGAAAAGUGAAAGGCUUCUCCUGCUUGCUUGACUGGAGACAUGUCAGCAAAUCAAAGGAAAAAGUAGUAGAGGAGCGGCUAUAGUUAAUGAUAGAUAUGGGAGAGGAGAAGGGAAUCUCAGAGACUUGGACCAUACAAGUUUACAACAAUCCUAAGAGCACUAUAUAUAUUUAUAUAUUGAAAACCAAAAUUUAGAAAAUAUAAAUCUAAUACAUCAAAAAUGAUAAAAAUAAAACAAGCAUCACACAUCACACACCUUCUUCUGUACUUCAGUUCUUCCCCCUCAAUCCC